rnacentral:pre_miRNA from 1 species
UCGACCACAUCUCCUUAUCACUUUUCCAGCCCAGCUUUUUUUUAAGUGCCCGUUGGACGGAGAACUGAUAAGGGCAUGUGCCCGA